CCGUUACUUUACUAACAGAUAUACUAUAAUGGGAAAUAUACAGAGAAGCUUAGCAACACAAUGAAUGACAUGUGGAUUUAUGAAGCUUUCUUCAUUUCC
ensembl:snRNA U6 U6 spliceosomal RNA